rnacentral:rRNA from 1 species
GAUGAACGCUGGCGGCGUGCCUAAUACAUGCAAGUCGAGCGAACAGACGAGGAGCUUGCUCCUCUGACGUUAGCGGCGGACGGGUGAGUAACACGUGGAUAACCUACCUAUAAGACUGGGAUAACUUCGGGAAACCGGAGCUAAUACCGGAUAAUAUAUUGAACCGCAUGGUUCAAUAGUGAAAGACGGUUUUGCUGCCACUUAUAGAUGGAUCCGCGCCGCAUUAGCUAGUUGGUAAGGUAACGGCUUACCAAGGCAACGAUGCGUAGCCGACCUGAGAGGGUGAUCGGCCACUCUGUAACUUAGGCACGUUCCAGACUCCUACGGGGGGCCGCAGUAGGGAAUCUUCCGCAAUGGGCGAAAUCCUGACGGAGCAACGCCGCGUGAGUGAUGAAGGUCUUCGGAUCGUAGAACUCUGUUAUUAGGGAAGGACGAGUGUGUAAGUAACUAGGCACGUCUUGACGGUACCGAAUCAGAAAGCCACGGCUAACUACGUG